rnacentral:rRNA from 1 species
AUUGAACGCUGGCGGCAUGCUUUACACAUGCAAGUCGAACGGUAACAGGUUAAGCUGACGAGUGGCGAACGGGUGAGUAAUGCAUCGGAACGUGCCCGGUCGUGGGGGAUAACGCAGCGAAAGCUGCGCUAAUACCGCAUACGAUCUGAGGAUGAAAGCGGGGGACCGUAAGGCCUCGCGCGAUCGGAGCGGCCGAUGUCAGAUUAGGUAGUUGGUGGGGUAAAGGCUCACCAAGCCGACGAUCUGUAGCUGGUCUGAGAGGACGACCAGCCACACUGGGACUGAGACACGGCCCAGACUCCUACGGGAGGCAGCAGUGGGGAAUUUUGGACAAUGGGCGCAAGCCUGAUCCAGCAAUGCCGCGUGCAGGAAGAAGGACUUCGGGUUGUAAACUGCUUUUGUACGGAGCGAAAAGGCUCUCUCUAAUACGGAGGGCUCAUGACGGUACCGUAAGAAUAAGCACCGGCUAACUACGUGCCAGCCGCCGCCGUAAUAC